GUUCGGUACCUACGAAGAGCUGCAAGCCCACAGGGCCUCCAGGUGCUGCGACCGCUAGUGGACACUUUGUUUUCUGCUUUGAUUCUUGUUUCGGUCCGGUUUUGCGUCGAAGAACUGUUCUGUGAACUUUGCGUUGGGCUGGAUUCUGGACGUUUAUUGUGGAUGGACUGCGUUGUUGUAUUCGGUUAUUCUUUUGUGCGUUGAGACAAAUGAGACGGUGUGGGUCAAUUGGAUUUGGAGUAUUGGACCGUGUUGGGUUGUCAAAGCGGUUGUAACAAGAAACCAACAGCCCCGUCAAGAAAAACAAGAAACCAAGAUCCGCGGCGGAGCAGCGGAAGGAGAAGGACUAUGCGGCGGCCGGGGCGCUACGCGGCGGCAGGGGCGACCGGGGCGCUAGACCGGAGCGCUACGCGGCGGCGGAAGGAACAGGGACGACCGGGGCGCUACGCGGCGGCGAAAGGCCGGAGCGCUACGCGGCGGCGGCGAGAGGGAAUCAAGGAAAGCGGCGCGGCGGCGACAGGGGAGGCCAGGAGACUGCGCCUCAGCAGAUCCACCAAGCCACGAUUUCGCCACGGACGAAAUCGUACCACCCCUUGGUCUGGCCUGGCGACCUGGCGGUGAGAAAUUUUACCAUUACUUGGACAAUCAAUUCCCGGUGGCAAUUAAACGGUGCAGUUUGAUAAGAAACUAUUUAUGGAAAAUGUGAGGAGUAACGGAAGCUCAUGGGUACCAGCCUCACUCGAUAGCUCCUUAGCAAUGAUAUUGACGCCUCAUAGAAUCAUGUCCCAGUAUCAGAGGUCCAGCUAAGGCAGCUGUUGCCACGGCAAGGACGAUGUCGGGAAAAACAAGACUCUGCCAGAUGUUCUGGUUCGUUCAGACAGACACCCAAAUAUCUAAAGGGUACCUGUUUAGCAGCUAAUGAAUCUCCAGGAAGCUGGCUGGGUGCCUUGGCCAUGGUCGCAGAGAAAGGUGGGAGAAAGCGGAGCUCACCGCGGUCGAUUGAUCCCUCCGUGUUGAUGAGAAACUGUCUUGCAAUCCGGAGCUGCGAAGGUCACUGGAGCUGCGGACGCGCACCGUCGAACGGUUCUGCAGCGCGGCCCCUCAACAGAGGUGCAGGCGGGAAGGCAACUGGAAGCACCGUCUGAUGUUGCCUAGGCCUGGUGUUGCCCAGUAGAGCUACAGGCGAGGCUUAGGUCGUCGGAAUACCAGCCUCACAGCAGGAGUGGUGCACGUCGGGUAGAGCUGCAGGCCGAGGUAGAGGCGGAGACGGCGUCACAAGCACAAACAACAAAGGGGUCUGCAACUGUUGAUUGAAGCCUGUUUGCACAAUACUUUGGAGAUUGCCCUGUGAUUACUGUUGAUGGAAGAACACACCGUUUGAGCUCACUUCCUUGAAGAUGUUUAUGAGAAAAUUGAGUACUUUCUUGCUUUGGAUUCUCCUGCAUCAGGAGCAUAAUUCGCACAGCAUGGAGAAAAGCGGAAGCAUGCAGUAUCUCAGUGAAUAAUCAGAGAGGAAUGAAGAACCUUGUCUUAUCCUCAUGGGGGGAUGAGUCCAUGCUUUCUGAAAACUAUGUUAAUCCUCAUUACAACUUCGACUGCUAUUAGUCAUAUAGUAAAGGACCAAGCAAAAUCUAGCAAGGACGAUGUCGGGAAAAACAAGACUCUGCCAGAUGUUCUGGUUCGUUCAGACAGACACCCAAAUAUCUAAAGGGUACCUGUUUAGCAGCUAAUGAAUCUCCAGGAAGCUGGCUGGGUGCCUUGGCCAUGGUCGCAGAGAAAGGUGGGAGAAAGCGGAGCUCACCGCGGUCGAUUGAUCCCUCCGUGUUGAUGAGAAACUGUCUUGCAAGCCGGAGCUGCGAAGGUCACCGGAGCUGCGGACGCGCACCGCCGAACGGUUCUGCAGCCCCGCCCCUCAACAGAGGUGCAGGCGGGAAGGCAACUGGAGGCACCGUCUGAUGUUGCCUAGGCCUGGUGUUGCCCAGUAGAGCUACAGGUGAGGCUUAGGUCGUCGGAAUACCAGCCUCACAGCAGGAGUGGUGCACGUCGGGUAGAGCUGCAGGCCGAGGUAGAGGCGGAGACGGCGUCACAAGCACAAACAACAGCGGGGUAAGAAUCUUGUUGAAACUCUCUCCAAUCAACCUGGAAGAAAGCUGAAAGUUAUUCUCAUGUCUGCAACUGUUGAUUGAAGCCUGUUUGCACAAUAAUUUGGAGAUUGCCCUGUGAUUACUGUUGAUGGAAGAACACACCGUUUGAACUCACUUCCUUGAAGAUGUUUAUGAGAAAAUCGAGUACUUUCUUGCUUUGGAUUCUCCUGCAUCAGGAGCAUAAUUCGCACAGCAUGAAGAAAAGCGGAAGCAUGCAGUAGCUCAGUGAAUAAUCAGAGAGGAAUGAAGAACCUUGUCUUAUCCUCAUGGGGGGAUGAGUCCAUGCUUUCUGAAAACUAUGUUAAUCCUCAUUACACCUUCGACUGCUAUUAGUCAUAUAGUGAUAGGACCAAGCAAAAUCUAGUGAGUUUGUGCUCUGGACAAUGCAUUGCACCUUUUUGUAAAUAUGGUUCAGUUCUGACUGAAAAUAUUCUAUUGCAAACUCAGGAAUGCUUAAACCAAGAUGUCAUUGAUUUUGAUGUGCUGGAAGAUUUGAUAUGCUAUAUUAUGAGUACUGCCCCACAGGCGCUGUUCUACUUUGUCUUCCUGUAAGUGUAAGCCAUAGUGUCAGUUUAAUGCUUUGCUUUCAAAUACUAGGUACAUUUCUUAUUUCCUACCAUAUGGGACACCCAUUUUUCAUUGAUGGUGUCAUUAACGUUGAUAACUGGUUCCGUUUUC